UACGUAGGUGGCAAGCGUUGUCCGGAAUUAUUGGGCGUAAAGCGCGCGCAGGUGGUUCCUUAAGUCUGAUGCGAAAGCCCACGGCUCAACCGUGGAGGGUCAUUGGAAACUGGGGAACUUGAGUGCAGAAGAGGAAAGUGGAAUUCCACGUGUAGCGGUGAAAUGCGUAGAGAUGUGGAGGAACACCAGUGGCGAAGGCGACUUUCUGGUCUGUAACUGACACUGAGGCGCGAAAGCGUGGGGAGCAAACAGG
rnacentral:rRNA from 1 species